UUAACAAGUCUUAUCCUAUCGAAACAAUCAUUGCUUAAAGCACGCGAACGUGCUGAAUGGUGAAUUUUUUAUCGUAUAAUUGCUAUUAUACAAAGCAAUGUUUACAUGCAAUGAUAUUUUAUUUUCACCUCAGGACUUGCUUAGAUGGGUGGCACCGUCUGCUACUAUAAUGUCUCAUUCGAGACAUCAUUGAAGUGCAGCACUUGGCAUAGGUAAGCCAAAGUGUAUUUUCAAGAAGUGAUUGCAACGAAAAGUGCUAACUUAUGACUCAAACAUAUGCGAGAGAAACAUUCAGAAAGCAUCAAUCAAGCUAAAAUCAAAUCAAAUACAGUAUUUUGAUAAGAAACGUAGUGUUACUACUUGGAAUCAAAAAAAAGGUCUCAGCCACAAAUGCUAUUUUACGGUGAGGAAAGAGGAUAUUUCCAGUAUUUCAAGGACUAAUCAUGAGAAGCACUGAGAUUUCAUCAACAUAAUGCUUGUUCAAUACGUAGUUCUAUGUGAGAUAGAAGUACCGUACAAGGCAAUCAAGACCCCACAGCUACAAUCACGUUCGAGGUGAAUGAUAUUCGAUUUUGGUUCUACUACACUCUCUAAUCAGUAUUCGAUUAGAUACAACUAUAAAAAAGCACACGUAUCGUCCACUCGGGAAGUAUCACGUUCCCUCAGCAGCCAUUAAAGGAUGAUACUGUUCAGUUCAGUUCUUUUGAAGACACAAAUGCCAUCGACAGCGACCGGCAAAAUGGCGCCAGAAAGACUUAUUAUCCAGUUAAGAUGAGGCAGGCUCCUUUGUCUAGCCGGCAGUGAUUUCUUGGGAUGGGAGUAUCUUGCCGAUAACCAUUAUGUACACAACAUUAGCUGCCAUAGACGACUCCCGUCAUGGGUGGUACUCAAUCGUUAAAAUGAACUGUCUGUUUUACAUAAAAAAUUGUGCAAACAAAUAAAAGUAUCUAAGUUACAAGGUUCAAUUUAUUUGACCUACUGAUACAGAAGUAUCAUUAAUAAUUUAUAUCAAUCGAGUUAGCUCCCAUUUUGGCAACACUUACACACUAAACAAACAUUCUUCAUUGAUGGCUUCUAUUGAUUGUCAAAACGCCAUCAAGAUGAUUUCGUUACCCGGGUAAAAAGUCGCUUGCUUCUUUAUUUGAACAGUCCAUUUUACACAUGCUUCCGUUAUUAUAAAUACAUAGUUCACCGACCAUAACCAGCAAGAGCAGCGCGCAGAAAGGGUCUGAUGUUAACCAGUUUUAGCUAGCAUCAACUGGAUUGUUAGUAGGUAUAUCGGUUUGCUUUGUUUUGCUUCCUUAGCAAUAACGCUUAAACAUUGCCAAGCACUACCGAUACAUAUAGUGACGUGAUUUGGUAUAUACAGCAAAUUUCGUAUGAACGCAAGAACUCAACGAAUCUGCAAAUAAAGACGCACCGGGAGAAAUUUUUUCCUGCUGAGAAUAUCAACUGAGGUAAAUGUGCGUCUCGGGAUAUAUCAUUGUGAAACUUUUUCAACCAAGUCAUUUUGACGUUUUUUCAAGUGUGAGUGAAAAUCUAAAUAGUUUAGUAAUUACAUAAUUUUGGUAAUAUGUAUCAGCAGAGUCAGAAGAAGCGUUGCCCGCAAUGUUUCGUUAUUAGGCCCUUGAAAAUCGUUUAAAAAUGUUGAAGAAAAAGUCGAGCUAUUUCAUUGUCCCCGAACGUGUCUGCAUCUGUUAUUCAAAGAUUUUUCUGUGAUGAACGGCAUUUCAUAUAUCCGUAAUAUCACUGGUAAAUCACAGUUUUCAUUGCUGUCAUUGAUAUUAAUCAAAAUUCAGGAGUUUGAGACUUAUUUUCGCCGAUUGAUGGGAAUAGUGGACCUCUGAUUAAUCGGUUCCUUACCCUAUAUAGGGUGUUCAAUAAGCUUGAAUACAACUAUUCAUCAUUGUGCAGGUACGCACCAUGUGCAUUCUGUGUAUUGGUAUUGGUGUCAGCUUUAGCCUUAUUUAUAGGCUAAUUGACUCCGGGGGUUGAAAUCCCACGGGGUGAAGCGUCGACGUUGGCUGUGGGCGUCGACGUUGGCCAGUUACCUCCGUUCCACAUAAACACGCGGGUCCAGAACGCCGUGUCGGUGAUGGCUUGUGGGGCCGUAUCCGGGCUUAGAAAGUUCCCACUGGCGUUUAUCGUGAAAAAUGUGAAAAUCAACACUGCGUACUAUAAGACCAAUGGACUGGAGAAGGUUGUGGUCCCUGCACUUUGUGACUUCGGGACCUCUCCGUAGGAUAAUUUUAUAUUUCAACAGGACGGCGCAUUUUGUCAAUAAAACCUCUGACCUCUGAUCUCUUCGAAUCCUUAGACCCUUGGACUUUUAUGUAUGGUCGUAAAUGCUGGCCAAGCAGAGUGAACAUGAAGUGAGCACUAUGGACCAACUUAAAAAGCGCAUUUCCAAAAUCUGGGACGAGGUACCGAGGGACCAGGUGCGUGCCUCGUGCGAACGUUUUAGGCUUGCUAUACAGCACAAAGGGAGUAUGCUCCCAACUAAUGCGUUGUAAAGGUUUUUAAUAAACAUUACCUCAAUAAAAUUGACUCAGAAAAGAAUAUCUUGUAGUAUUAUUUUUUACCACAUUUUUGCAAUGCAUUUGAACUUACUGGACACCCUGUAUGUUUUAUGAUAUGGCCGAGCCAUUGACAUCCCUUUACCGAGUAAUAGUGAAUGACAGUGAAGUCAAAAUCAUUUGUGCCUGCUGCCAGCUGUCAGAUAAAGGUGUAUGAAAAGUGGCGGUGAUAUGCUAUCUCAUUUACACAAGCGUUGAGAUGUUGGCCUUUGAAAUAUGGCAUGAUGCCAUAGAUGUGGAUGUGGCUUAUAGUUUGAUUUUUAUCAAAAGGCUUGUGCGGCUGUCAAACUUCAUAAAUUUUUCCUCUACCGCUCAUUGAUUCUGGGACCCAUUUUUUGGUUGGUUUCCCCAAAACAAGAUAAGCAAAGCUUUGGUGCUACAUUCCGAUUCGAAGCUCGACCUUCUGUUUAUUGUUAAGUGUACAGGACAAUUGCGGGGCUAGCGCUACGACCCUAUUGACUUUAACAGUCUCUCCCGAGCCAAGACUUGAGCCUACGACAACUGGUUUGUUAGGCCAGCAUCGUACAUCGAGACCAGCUGGGAGACUGAAAUAGAGUAAAAAGCAAAGCCUUGGUGCUACAUUCCGUAUCGGAACUCGACCUUCUGUUUAUUAUACACAGACUUCGCAGCCAACUGUGAAGUGUACACACUUAGAUUUUAUUGCCGAAAACUCAACAGCUGAUAAAUUCAGUGAAAUGUUCUACAAGUUUUCAGCAAAAUUUUCGAGAACUUCGGCAAAUGAAAUGUCAAUACCUGCUGGUUUACGGCAAAUCGAUAUAUUUGCUAAAUGUUCGUCGAAAUAUAUUGCUGACAUUUGUUAAAAACUUCGCCGAGGUCGAUCAGCUGUUGGGAAGUUUGCCGAGAUAAAUAAGUGUAUACAGGACAAUUGCGGGGCUAGCGCUACUGUCCUACUGACACUAACAGUCUCUCCCGAGCCAAGACUCAAACCUACGACAACUGAUUUGUUGGGCCAGCAUCGUGCCUCGAGAGCAGCUGAGAGACUGAAAUAGAGUAAAAAGCAAAGCCUUGGUGGUGAUACAUUCCGUAUCGAAACUCGACCUUCUGUUCAUUAUACACAGACUUCGCAGCCAACUGUUAAGUGUACAGGACAAUUGCGGGGCUAGCGCUACAAUCCUACUGACACUGACAGUCUCUCCCGAACCGAGAUUCGACCCUACGACGACUGGCUUGUUAGGUCAGCAUCGUAACUCGAGGCCAGCUGGGAUAAAUAGAGUAAACGCCCCUAAUUGUCAGUUGACUUGUUCUCGAAUAAAUAUUUUUUAGAUGAAAAAACAAAAACUCAACGUUUGUUUUCAGUACAAUGUGCACUUCCGUUGAAUGAGAUAUUUUUUGCUCAAUGCCUGAAGCUUAAUUCUAAAUAAAAUAUUGACGCCGUGAUGAAUUUAUGAUUAGCAGGUAAAAUGUUUACGUUUAUACUCCUCUGGUUUUUAUAGUUGUUAUCUAGUCAUAUUUAUCCGAAACUGUUAUUUGUUACUUUUAGUGUUAAAUAAAUAGUUAUUAUCUAGCAAAACGUUAUAGGUGUUCUAUAUCCAAGAUGGCGGCGCCAUAGACGUAGGAUGGAAACAAUAAACAAAAUACGCUUACCUACACUUAAGAAAACGCUCAGCAAUGUGCAGAAAGUGUUCAAUUAGUUUAUUCAAAACCUAAUUAAGGUUUACUUGACCAUGGAAACAUUGUCUUGCAAAAAUAAUAAAAAAUGUAGUAUUAGUUAGGGCGAAUGAAGGACAUUUCCUUCAAACAAAUCAAUAAGCAAUAGUCAAUGUACCAUGCUUGAGUUGACAAGAAGAAAACAGCUUAUGAGACGGUUUAAAAUGCUUUUCAUUCGAAUAAAACUUCAGAGAAUAAUCGUGUGCCGUGACCAAGCCUCUUGAAAAAACUUAAUUUGACGAAAAUGGAAUUCUUUCAUCUCAGUAAACAUCGAGAAAAUUAGAGAGAAAAUUCGAACGAAAAGGAAAUACACGCAUGCUUUGGUAGUAUCUAUUGUUUGAAGUAAACGCGUUCAUGACUACCUACUUGUUAAAAGUGAAAUGUAGGAAUACUAAAAGCCGACAGUGGUGGACAGGGACGAUAACUAUUUGCAUUUUCAGUUUGGUCAAAUGUGAUAGCUAUUUAAAAAAUGAUUGUGUAAAUAAUCAAUUUAAGUCCGUAUAUUUCAUAACACAUAGUACAAUGAUUUGAAAAAAAUAUACAUUGUAUAUAUCUUUCAACUGCGAUAGAUUUAAGAAUACUUUCAAAUUACUGUCUUACCAACGAAAUAAAUUGAAUAGAGUUACAAUUUAUUCUAAAAUAGUUAUUGUAUUGUAUGAUAUUUAUCAAGAACUGUCCCAGUUCGAAUCAUUUAUGAAUUUAACCAUUCCCUAUUCUAUAUUCCACCAGCCCAAUGUACCGAAUCGCCAGGAACGUUUCUAAAAUUGUAAUUUCAUUUUGCUGAUGCGUUUUCUAGCAUGUGCACCCAACUCAGCGUUGAUAUUGAUAGCUGUGCUAACUCGGCGACGGAUUGAAUGGAAAUUUCCACUCAGUUGGAUAUUUUCGCUGUUUUUUAUGGACACACUUUCGCGUUGGGCUACAAACGCUCGAGAAACCGCUGCAACUUCCAUUGCAAGAAAACGCACUCUCGGUGCUGCCGACUCGGCGUUUUUUAUAUCGAAUGCGUAUAGAAGGUACUGGAAGGUCAGGGGGAAUUGUCAGAGGCAAAAGCACUUGGUUUUACAUUAGAGUUUGUUAGUUCUGUUUCGGAAACUCUCAUUUCGCUUUCACAUGCUUUUUCAAGCCCUGUAAUGUCCAGCUGAUAACUCAGCUGUUCUUGAAUCCCAGUGAGUCUGUGAGAUAAAGUCGUUUCGUUGCUGGUUGUCACACCUACUGCAACCUCAUUUGUUUUUAUAUAGCAAAUUACAAGUUAUGUCACACGGAAACCCAACAUCCGAAGUAAGAGAGUAAUGCACGGUUUCUUAUCACGUUUUCUACAGAAUGUAAAAUAAUAAUAGCAAAACGCUUUUGCACGUUCUGUGAGAGAACGAAUCGAUUAACUCGCACGAAAACACCCGGUCUUUGCGCGAUGUGACAGUGAUUUACUGUUUCUUCUUUCAAUUGUACCAUUCGCUUAGCACCGAUUAGUAUUUGCAGUCCAAUCCAAAUAUCCCAUUCACGUUGGACUGACGAUGUACAACAAAGCCAG